rnacentral:rRNA from 1 species
GACGUAGGGGGCAAGCGUUGUCCGGAAUCAUUGGGCGUAAAGAGCGCGUAGGCGGCCCUGUAAGUCCGCUGUGAAAGUCAAGGGCUCAACCCUCGAAUGCCGGUGGAUACUGUCGGGCUAGAGUGCGGAAGAGGCGAGUGGAAUUCCUGGUGUAGCGGUGAAAUGCGCAGAUAUCAGGAGGAACACCUAUUGCGAAGGCAGCUCGCUGGGACGUAACUGACGCUGAGACGCGAAAGCGUGGGGAGCAAACAGG